GCUGUGGUGCGCGUCGCCGCCGGGUGAUGCGGGUGCUCGCUCGCGCCAGUCUGGCGUGGUCGCGGGCGCGUCGACGCUGUUGCGCCGCUGCCGCAUGGCGUCGGGAGCGGUCGGCGGUGGCCGCUGUGGUGGACGGCUCCGUUCCACGGGCUGCGGUACCCGGAAUUCGCCCCUGUUGUUGUUGGUGUCGUGCGGCGUGUCCGGUCUCUCCAUGUCCUCGCCCGCCGCCUUUGCCUGUCUCCCUUCCUGCUUUUUUUUCGCGCGGCCCCUCUGGCGUUGCUCGGUCCCGGAGCCUUUGGGUCGGCGUGCGCGCGCGCGGGUCAACUCGGGACCCUUGCCUCUUUUUUUUUUAUUCUUCCAAUUUCCUCCCUCGUCCCCGCUCUCUUUUGUGUCCCCUGUUGUUGUUGUCGUCUGCGGUGGGCGCGCGCGUGUGCCCGGUGUCC
rnacentral:lncRNA from 1 species